UAUUAAGCGAGAAAGUCUAGUGGAACGAUGCAGGGUUCAUUGGGUUUGUUUACAAAAAUUCAAGCAUCCGGUUAAGAAGACGACAAAUAAGAAUGGUAUUAAGUUGGUAGAAUGGAACUCCUUCCUGAUUCCUGCACAUACCAGAUACUCUUGAGGGACCAAUUUAAGGGCAAACAGACAAACGUUUUGAUGCAAAGAAAACAUUGGAUUUGAAAGUUCCCAUGGAGAAGAAAAAUGGAGAGAUUCUAAAAGUAUGAAGAUACUCCUGUGUAUAAUGAGGAAAUCUUGUCAGUGAAUGUUGUUGCAAUUGUGGACCAGGCCAGAGUUGUACUAAACCAACUAAGACACAAUGAGAUACAGGAAUGACACAAUGAGAAACAGGAAACAGGAAAGUGAUGACUGAUCGCCACCUGUUACAAAUUCAUCUAGAAAACUCCCCAGAUCCAACAAGAGACAGUCUGACUUCAAAAUCUUCAUUGAAGGCAACUUAAUGGACAAGACAUCCGUCACAUAAAGAUUCACUAAAAUUGGAAUGAUAUACCAAUUUUAACUUUUAACAGACAAAUACAUUAUAGAUUUGAAAAUAGAUAACCCUUAAAUAAGUUGGAUGAUUAGCAUUUACCUCAACACAGUACAAAGUGCUCAUGUUGAACUAUUGUGAUUGAUCAUAGUCUGUCCUUCAUUUUUAUUAACAGUUUCAUACAGUGUUAACACUUUAGUAUGGGGACUCAUUUUUAGCUCAACUUUUCGAAGAAUAUGGAGAGCUAUACUACUCACCCAAGCGUCAGCGUCGGCGUCACCCCUUGGUUAAGGGUUUGCGUGCAAGCACACAUAGGUUAAUAUCUCAGCAACUACUUGAGGUAUUGCAUUGAGACUUUAUACAAUGGUACUCAACCAUCCAACCUACUUAUUUAAAUAAGUAAGAUAACUCUAGUUUGCAUUUAAUGUAAAUAAUAGGCCUUUAUUAUUUGACUUAGAAAUUCUGGUUAAGGUUUUGCAUGCAAGCACACAUAGGUUAAUAUCUCAGCAACUGCUUGAGGUAUUGCAUUGAGACUUGAUACAAUGGUACUCAACCAUCAAACCUACUUAAUUUUCCAAGUUAUAUAACUCUAGUUUGCAUUUAAUGCAAAUAUUUGCCUUUAUUAUUUCACUCAGAAAUUCUGGUUAAGGUUUUGCAUGUAAGCACACAUAGGUUAAUAUCUCAGCAACUACUGUAUGAAUUGCAUUGAGACUUUAUACAACCACCCAACCUAAUUGAAUAAUCAAGUUAGAUAAAAAUUCUGGUUAAAAUUUUGCAUGUAACCACAUAUAUGUUGAUAUCUCCGCACAUCAUGUAUUGCAUUGAAAUCUAAUCUAACAGUGAUCCAUGCAUGUUUCGCCAAAACUUUUCAAUCCUUACACUUUAAAGCAGCGGAAUAGUCGAGAGCGCUGUCUCUGUGACAGCUCUUGUCUCUUUGGUCUUUAUUCAUACUGGCCAGAAUAUGUUUACCAAAAAAAUCUUAGUAGAGAUUGAUAACUGUUCAGGUUGGACAAAAAGCAUGUAGGUUGUUUGUUCUAAUAAUAUAAACUGUAAAUGCUUCAGAAACUAUAUAUAUAAUUUUUCAUGAUAUUUGUCAGUAUUUAUUCUCGUCAACAUUUAAAUAAUAUUAGGUGAAACUUGUUUAAUGGUCAAAAUGUGUUUGAUUAGAGUGGCCUCAAGUUCCACUUUAUAUGAAUGAAAUUUGGUCAAGUUUUAGAAAAAAACUAUGUUCUAGUUUUAUAGGCCAUAUUCUCUUCCCAAGCUUUCCUUAAAGAAUGAAUGUAGGUAAUAUGAAACAGGAGUCACUAAGUCAAGUAUUAAAAACCUUAAAAAUUGCUAUUCAUAGAGGUAUUGUUUCCUCAUCAUAAAUCACAACUUAGCCAGCAAGACUUUUCAACAAAUAAGGCAUAACAUGUAAAAAGUUAAUAAUUAGGCACAUAUUUUAGUGAAUAAAAUCUUGUGAACAUAUUAUUGAAACAAAUAAUGUGUCUGGUUCUGAGGUGAGCAAUAAAGCACAUUGCUUAGUAACAAUUGAGCUAGCUCAUUAUUAAAAGUUUGUUUUAAACUUGAAUUAAAUGAAUGCAAAUCAUAUAUUAUUAUUUUUAAUCUAUAUUUUUUUAGUUACCUUGUUCUGUUGUUAAUUUCCAUACUGACUUGGUCAAUUAUGGCUAAUUGUCUUAUUAUAUUUUAACUUCUAACCUAAAUGUUUCAUUGUACUUUUGAGUGUUCUGUUAACUAUAUUGCACAUUACCCUAUAUGACAGUAUAAAUUCAAUAAAACCAUGGUUAUUAAGUUCCAUACAUAUUGGAGCACAUGGUAAGCCUCUUGAAAUGUCACUUCUUAAACCUAGAUUCUUGAUCUGUUCGCCACAUUGUUUUGUUAUUUUUUUGUUUAUAAAAACAAAUGAUUGUUUAAUGUCAAGGAAACCUUUUUAAAGUUAAAAUGUAGAUGUACAUAGAUAACUGUCAAAUAUUAUUUACCAUUUAAUAACUGUCUAAAGGCAAAAUUUCCAUUCAUUUUUAUAUUUGAUUUGGGUCCCUAGGGUCAUGGUCACUGUAACUAAAAUAGAAAAAUGCUUGGUACUGAAUAACUUCAGUUUUAAUACAUUUAAAACUGAAUCUCACAAUAAAGGCUGAAGUUCUUGUUGCAUUGCAGCAUUUCUAGUUAACUUUUUAAUUUGACUCUUUUUAUUGCUUUCGACAGGCACAUAUUACCUCAUUAUUGUAUUCAUUUUUAAGACAAAGCCUCAUUUAAUUGAGCGUGCUGUCCAAAGACAGCUCUUGUUGACAUAAUUAUAAGACACCUUAUGUUAUGGUUUAUAUGAACAAUAGCUGUUUCUGUGUAUGUUUUAGAAGAAACUUCCAUUUCUUAUCAUAUUGAUGGACAUAGAUAUACAUACAUGUACGGGAUUAUUGACAUCAGAUUCUUAGGAUUAAAUUUACUAAUGUUCUGUUCAUGUUCAAAAUAGAUACAGUUAUGGUAAAUG